GACAGAGGUGCCGAGCGUUAGGCGGAAUCACUGGGCUUAAAGAGUGUGUAGGCGGUGUUCUAAGUCUGUUGUGAAAUCUCCCGGCUUAACUGGGAGGGUGCGGCGGAAACUGGAAUGCUAGAGGAUGGGAGAGGUAAGCGGAAUUCCUGGUGUAGCGGUGAAAUGCGUAGAUAUCAGGAGGAACACCUGUGGUGUAGACAGCUUACUGGACCAUUUCUGACGCUGAGACACGAAAGCGUGGGUAGCAAACAGG
rnacentral:rRNA from 1 species